rnacentral:misc_RNA from 1 species
ACGGGUUAUUACACCCAGUCCGUACCAACUACUACUUUCUCGGGGUUUCUUGUUUCAUAAGACCCUUGUAUUACUUCACAAUAAAGGUUUCUUUUUACCUGAAUGCAAAUACUUUGUGAUGCAUUAUAUGCACGUCGAAUAGAUUAAUUGUUAUAUAUUUCUUUCAAUUUUGACUAUUUAGCAAUUGAUUUUUCGGACUUUUCUAUUCUUUAUUCUUUUCCUUCUAAAGCUUACAUGAGCAUAUAAAAAGCACUGUUAUCAUUCUAACACGUAUAACAAUUAAUAUACUGAAUAAAGUAAUGUGAUUC